UACGUAGGGGGGCGAGCGUUAUCCGGAAUUACUGGGCGUAAAGCGCACGCAGCGGUUCGCCAAGUUUGGAGUGACAGUUGUCGGCUCAACCGACAAAGGACUUCAAAAAACUGGUGAACUUGAGGACGAGAGAGGAACAUGGAACUCCAGGUGUAGUAGUGAAAUGCGUAGAUAUCUGGAAGAACACCAAUGGCGAAGGCAA
rnacentral:rRNA from 1 species